GGGGUUUGUUUUGUCUUUUU
rnacentral:miRNA from 1 species